rnacentral:rRNA from 1 species
CCUACGGGAGGCAGCAGUGGGGGAUAUUGCACAAUGGGGGAAACCCUGAUGCAGCGACGCCGCGUGUGGGAAGACGGUCCUCUGGAUUGUAAACCACUGUCCCCAGGGACGAAGAUGACGGUACCUGGGGAGGAAGCUCCGGCUAACUACGUGCCAGCAGCCGCGGUAAUACGUAGGUGGCAAGCGUUGUCCGGAUUUACUGGGGGUAAAGGGCGUGCAUCGGGAGAGACAAGUCAGAUGUGAAAUCCACGGGCUCAACCCGUGAACUGCAUUUGAAACUGUUUGCCUUGAGUGUCGGAGAGGUAAUCGGAAUUCCCUGUGUAGCGGUGAAAUGCGUAGAUAUAAGGCAGAACACCAGUGGCGAAGGCGGAUUACCGGACGAAAACUGACGGUGAGGCGCGAAAGCGUGGGGAGCAAACAGGAUUAGAUACCCGUGUAGUC